rnacentral:rRNA from 1 species
CGGGUAGCGGAACACGUACGCAACCUUCCUUUAACUGGAGAAUAGCCCCUCGAAAGAGGGAUUAAUACUCCGUAACAUGUACAUGUGGCAUCACAAGUACAUUAUAGCUCCGGCGGUUAAAGAUGGGCGUGCGUCUGAUUAGGUAGUUGGCGGGGUAACGGCCCACCAAGCCUACGAUCAGUAACUGGUGUGAGAGCACGACCAGUCACACGGGCACUGAGACACGGGCCCG